rnacentral:tRNA from 1 species
GACGAUUAGUCUAAGUGAAAGACCGCUGAUUUCGGCUCAGCAAAACGUGGUUCAAGCCCACGAUCGUCC